UACGUAGGGAGCAAGCGUUGUUCGGAUUUACUGGGCGUAAAGGGCGCGUAGGCGGCGCGGUAAGUCACUUGUGAAAUCUCUGAGCUUAACUCAGAACGGCCAAGUGAUACUGCAGUGCUAGAGUGCAGAAGGGGCAAUCGGAAUUCUUGGUGUAGCGGUGAAAUGCGUAGAUAUCAAGAGGAACACCUGCGGCGAAGGCGGGUUGCUGGGCUGACACUGACGCUGAAGCGCGAAAGCUAGGGGAGCGAACGGG
rnacentral:rRNA from 1 species